AGACAUUCCAGGCAGAGGAAAUAGUGUGAUGAAAAGCACAGAGGAUCUAGAAGGCGUGAGAAUUUCAAGGAAUGACAACGCCUGCAUCUCGAAUGGCUGGAGAUGAGGCUGGGAAAGGAUCUUGCUAUGUUGCCGAGACUGGUCUGGAACUCCUGGCCUCGAGCCAUCCUCCUGCCUCAGCCUCUCAAAGCACUGGAAUUACAAGCAUGAGCCACCACACCCAACCCGUAUGUCUUAACGGAAAUUUAAAAGCAAAUAUUAUUGAACUGACACAAAUGUUCACUUUGAAUGACAAAGGACACCUACCUUUAAUUAACUAUGGCCUUUGAAGUAUAACCUUAAAGCAAGAGAGUAAUGACCUAGUUUAUACAAAUCUAACAUAUUCGAAUAUUUUCCUGAACACAUCAGCUCCACAAAGGAAGGGAAGCGGAGCCCCUCCACAGGCAACUCAACCCAGCGCAGUAGGGACAGAGGAGGAGGCCGAAGGGACAGUGUCAGUUGACACUCUCAGCUCCACCAGGCAGGAGGAUGGGGAAGCAGAUCUCUCCCACGGACUCUGCCUUCUGAAAGACACAGGGGCAGGAGGCCAGGAGGACCUCCUGCAGAGCCAGCCUGUGUGCCACCGGGUGUCCAACGGAUUGGCUAAUGGGCCCACUGCUGCUGGCGGAGGGCAAGUCCUUUUAACACAACAGGCUUUUAUUCUCUUAGAAACACUUAAUAGCAGGCCGGUGUUGCGAGGCCUGGAAACGGCGCUCCCCUGCUGAGCUCACGCAAGUCAAAAGCUUUCAGCCAAACCAAGGAAAUGCCCUGCUGAAUAAAUCAGUGCCCUUCUCCUCGCUUUUCUUCUUUGCAAGCCGCCGGGAAGAACUUCCACCUGCAGACUGGAGCACCCCAAGUCAGGAGGCCAAAUUGCGGGCCCAUCUCCAACCCAGUCCUGCCCACAUGUAACCCAGGAAACACUGCUGUCUCACCAGCACGCCUCACCACACUGGGAAAGUUCUCCCGCCCAGUCCUGUAGCCAUCCCUCCCUGCACGCAGAAACGGGAGGUGCACCCAGGAAGCCCUGAGGCCUGGGAGACCCAUCUCCAUGGAGCACCCCACGAGGCAAGCACAGCACUCAGGCUCACCUGGGGCUGUGCCCCCUGACAGGUGUGUGACGUGUGUGAGUGUGAGUGCGAGGUACAAGUGUGGGUACCACCCAGCCCGGCAGGGGGGCGUUAGAUACCAUUUUAUUGGGUAUUUACUUAGAGGUAUCAAACAAAGUUCCAACAACGAGAAAGUUCAGAAUUUCCUCCACUGGGAACAGGCUACGGUGUUGAAAUUUCUUUUUUCUUUUCUUUCUUUUUUUUUUUAAGAGGGAGUCUCGUUCUAAAGGCCAGGCUGAAGUGCAGUGGCGCGAUCUUGGCUCACUGCAACCUCCACCUCCUAGGUUCAAGCAAUUCUCCUGCCUCAGCCCCCUGAGCAGCUGGGAUUACAGGUGCCCGCCACCAUGCCCAGCUAAUUUUUGUAUUUUUAGUAGAGACAGGGUUUUACCACGUUGGCCAGGCUGGAGUCUCAAACUCCUGACCUCAGGUGAUCUGCCCGCCUCAGCCUCCCAAAUUGCUGGGAUUACAGGUGUGAGCCACCGCGCCCAGCCCGAAACAUUAUUUCUAAGUCCCAAUUUUCCAUUAAACUAGUAUCAUGUAUAUCAUUCACAAAUAACAUGUAUUUAUGAAGCUGGGCACUCUACUGAACACCACAGAUGCAUGAUCUCAGCAAAUGCUCACUCUCAUCAGACAGGACAGGUACUAAUAGUGUUCCCAUGUUAAGUUUACAAAUAAGAAAAUUAUGACAGAGAGAACAUGAGAUUUGGAAUAUGUGUCUG
rnacentral:lncRNA from 10 species